GUUUGUGCUGGGAUUCCCCAUGGUAAAAGGAGACCGAAGGGUGGGAGGAGUUUCCCUGUCCUUUCUCUUUGGGUCCCUUCUGCCUGGAGGUAAAGGGUCUAGUGGCCCAUCCCUUAGCUUCUGCUUCUUAGAGGUUGGCCAUAUGACCUCUUUGAGUUUGAGUUCUGAUUCCUGAAGGAAUGCUCUCAUGACAUUUUUUUUCCUCACCCAGGACCCACACCCUGCUCAGAGCCCAGAUGUACAUUGGAUGGGCACAGGAGCCCUAUGUUCUGCACAGAUAUGGUCCCCUGCUUCGCCUUUCAGGAGCGACUCUGUUCUGGGGGACCAUUUGGAAUCUCCACAUGCAAUAGGAGUGUGUGACUUCCUUGCUGGGCAAUCCGAUCCUGCUGCCGCCCAGGUGCCUGCCCAUUUCCAGAUGGAAGGGAGCACAGGAGAGCAGGUAACAGCCAGCAAGUCUGUAACAGCCCGGCCCCAGGUGAGCCCCAGGGCUUUUGGUCCUUCCCGCUGUCUUAGUAUUGCUGCCUAGUGGAUGGUACAGCUCCCCUCAUCCUGAGUUUCUUUGUCAUUUGACCUCCUGUUCAGAGACCCAGUUAUGCCCCUUGAGCCCAGGGCCUUCUGCUGGGCGAAGGUCUUUCACCAUUGCCAGGUUCAUCUUUUGUUCUUUCUCAGCCAGCCCCAUUUU
rnacentral:lncRNA from 1 species